rnacentral:rRNA from 1 species
CGGGAGCAAUCCUGGCGGCGAGUGGCGAACGGGUGAGUAAUAUAUCGGAACGUGCCCUGUAGCGGGGGAUAACCUAUCGAAAGAUGGACUAAUACCGCAUACGCUCUACGGAGGAAAGCGGGGGUCGCAAGACCUCUCACUACAGGAGCGGCCGAUAUCGCAUUAGCUAGUUGGCGGGGUAAAAGCCCACCAAGGCUACGAUCCGUAGCUGGUCUGAGAGGAUGAUCAGCCACACUGGAACUGAGACACGGUCCAGACUCCUACGGGAGGCAGCAGUGGGGAAUUUUGGACAAUGGGCGCAAGCCUGAUCCAGCCAUGCCGCGUGAGUGAAGAAGGCCUUCGGGUUGUAAAGCUCUUUCGUCAGGAACGAAAAGGUUCGUUUUAAUACCACGGACUGAUGACGGUACCUGAAGAAGAAGCACCGGCUAACUACGUGCCAGCAGCCGCGGUAAUACGUAGGGUGCAGGCGUUAAUCGGAAUUACUGGGCGUAAAGCGUGCGCAGGCGGUUUCUUAAGUCAGAUGUGAAAGCCCCGGGCUUAACCUGGGAAUUGCGUUUGAAACUGGGAGACUUGAGUGCGGCAGAGGGGGGUGGAAUUCCACGUGUAGCAGGGAAAUGCGUAGAUAUGUGGAGGAACCCCCAUGGCGAAGGCAGCCCCCUGGUCAACAC